AAAAGAGUGUGUACCCACCCUUUAAUGGGUUGGGUUACCUCCCCGUCCUUUGUUGGCCCUCUUAGGGGGCUGUUUUGAACUUUUCUGCUUCGGCGGGUUUAAACCUGCCGGAACACCCUCAAAAAUUCUUUAAAAAUUUGUUCAGUCCGAGUAUUUUGAGAAAAUAAAAACUAA
rnacentral:misc_RNA from 1 species